rnacentral:rRNA from 1 species
UGGGGAAUUUUGGACAAUGGGCGAAAGCCUGAUCCAGCAAUGCCGCGUGUGUGAAGAAGGCCUUCGGGUUGUAAAGCACUUUUGUCCGGAAAGAAAUCCUUGGCUCUAAUACAGUCGGGGGAUGACGGUACCGGAAGAAUAAGCACCGGCUAACUACGUGCCAGCAGCCGCGGUAAUACGUAGGGUGCAAGCGUUAAUCGGAAUUACUGGGCGUAAAGCGUGCGCAGGCGGUUUGCUAAGACCGAUNUGAAAUCCCCGGGCUCAACCUGGGAACUGCAUUGGUGANUGGCAGGCUAGAGUAUGGCAGAGGGGGGUAGAAUUCCACGUGUAGCAGUGAAAUGCGUAGAGAUGUGGAGGAAUACCGAUGGCGAAGGCAGCCCCCUGGGCCAAUACUGACGCUCAUGCACGAAAAGCGUGGGGAGCAAAACAGGUUAGAUACCCCUGGUAGUCCACGCCCCUAAAACGAUGUCAACUAGUUGUUGGGGGAUUCAUUUCCUUAGUAACUAGCUAACGCGUGAAGUUGACCGCCUGGGGGAGUA